rnacentral:rRNA from 1 species
GAUGAACGCUGGCUACAGGCUUAACACAUGCAAGUCGAGGGGAAACGACGGGGAAGCUUGCUUCCCCGGGCGUCGACCGGCGCACGGGUGAGUAACGCGUAUCCAACCUGCCUCUGACUGAGGGAUAACCCGUCGAAAGUCGGCCUAAUACCUCAUGGCAUCGUCUGCGGGCAUCCAACGACGAUUAAAGAUUUCAUCGGUCAGAGAUGGGGCUGCGUCUGAUUAGCUUGUUGGCGGGGGAACGGCCCACCAAGGCGACGAUCAGGAGGGGUUCUGAGAGGAAGGUCCCCCACAUUGGAACUGAGACCCGGUCCAAACUCCUACGGGAGGCAGCAGUGAGGAAUAUUGGUCACUGGGCGAGAGCCUGACCCAGCCAAGUAGCGUGCAGGAUGCCGGCCAUAUGGGUUGUAAGCUGCUUUUAUGCGGGGAUAAAGUGAGGGACGUGUCCUUCAUUGCAGGUACCGCAUGAAUAAGGACCGGCUAAUUCCGUG